GACGAACGCUGGCGGCGUGCCUAACACAUGCAAGUCGAACGGGGUAAUUUCUUCGGAGAUUACUUAGUGGCGAACGGGUGAGUAACGCGUGAGAAACCUGCCUUUCAGUGGGGGACAACAGUUGGAAACGACUGCUAAUACCGCAUAAUGUCAUUUGGGGGCAUCCCUGAAUGACCAAAGAUUUAUUGCUGAAAGAUGGUCUCGCGUCUGAUUAGCUAGUUGGGGAGGUAGCGGCUCACCAAGGCGACGAUCAGUAGCCGGUCUGAGAGGAUGAACGGCCACAUUGGGACUGAGAUACGGCCCAGACUCCUACGGGAGGCAGCAGUGGGGAAUAUUGGGCAAUGGGGGAAACCCUGACCCAGCAACGCCGCGUGAAGGAAGAAGGCCUUCGGGUUGUAAACUUCUUUUACCAGGGACGAACAAAUGACUGUACCUGGAGAAAAAGCAACGGCUAACUACGUGCCAGCCGCCGCGGUAACAC
rnacentral:rRNA from 1 species